GACGAACGCUGGCGGCGUGCUUAACACAUGCAAGUCGAACGGAAAGGCCCUGCUUGCAGGGUACUCGAGUGGCGAACGGGUGAGUAACACGUGGGUGAUCUGCCCUGCACUUCGGGAUAAGCCUGGGAAACUGGGUCUAAUACCGGAUAGGAGCCAUUUUUAGUGUGAUGGUUGGAAAGUUUUUUCGGUGUAGGAUGAGCUCGCGGCCUAUCAGCUUGUUGGUGGGGUAAUGGCCUACCAAGGCGGCGACGGGUAGCCGGCCUGAGAGGGUGGACGGCCACAUUGGGACUGAGAUACGGCACAGACGCCGACGGGAGGCAGCAGUGGGGAAUAUUGCACAAUGGGCGCAAGCCGGAUGCAGCGACGCCGCGUGGGGGAUGACGGCCUUCGGGUUGUAAACUCCUUUCGCUAGGGACGAAGCUUUUUGUGACGGUACCUAGAUAAGAAGCACCGGCUAACUACGUG
rnacentral:rRNA from 1 species